UACGUAGGGGGCAAGCGUUGUUCGGAAUGACUGGGCGUAAAGGGUGCGUAGGCGGUGUAGCAAGUUAGAAGUGAAAUACCUAGAGCUCAACUCAGGUGCUGCUUCUAAAACUGCUAUACUUGAGUGCAGUAGAGGAAAGUGGAAUUCCUAGUGUAGCGGUGGAAUGCGUAGAUAUUAGGAGGAACAUCAGUGGCGAAGGCGACUUUCUGGACUGUAACUGACGCUGAGGCACGAAAGUGUGGGGAGCAAACAGG
rnacentral:rRNA from 1 species